CCGGCGACCGGCGCACGGGUGAGUAACACGUAUGCAACCUGGCCGUCACAGGUGGAUAACCGGAAGAAAUUCCGACUAAUACAGCAUAACACUCCUGAGGGACAUCCUUCGGGAGUCAAAGGAGGCAACUCCGGUGACGGAUGGGCAUGCGGCGCAUUAGGUAGUUGGUAGGGUAACGGCCUACCAAGCCGACGAUGGAUAGGGGUUCUGAGAGGAAGGUCCCCCACAUUGGAACUGAGACACGGUCCAAACUCCUACGGAAGGCAGCAG
rnacentral:rRNA from 1 species